ensembl:lncRNA
GCAGCCGCCGGAGCGCGAUCGGGGCCGGGCGGGGCCCGAGGCCUCGUCCCUUCCUCCGCCUCCGGGGGCGGCCCCGGGCCGCAGGGCUCUGCUCGCGUUGGGGGUUGGGCGCCUGCGCUCCUCCGCGGCCCGGGCCGUGCGUUGGCGGGUGCGGGACGGCGCUGCGCUGGGUGUCCCCGGCUCCGAGCCCGCAGAGCUCGGGCGUGGGAGAAGGUGCGGCAGGAGGCGUUGGCCGGGGGCGGUGGCCCUGCCCUGCUCUGCCCUUUUUCACGUGAACGAGACCUCACGGGGCCCGUGUGCCGCAGCGGGUGUGGGGCAGAGCCCUGCUCCGUCCUGUGCCGCCCUGUCCCCAUCCCAUCCCCAUCCUACCCUGUCCCUGUCUCGCACCCAUUGCUGUCCUUGUCCUAUUCUAUCCCCAUCUCAUCCCAUCCCUAUCUCAUUCCCAUUGCUGUCCCCAUCUUUCCCUGUCCCUAUUCCAUCUCCAUCCCACUUCUGUCUCCGUUUAACCUCCAUCCCAUCACUGUCCCUCCCUCUUCCCAUCUCGUUCCCAUUGCUGUCCUUAGCCCAUUCUGUCCUCAUCUCUAUCUCAUCCCCCUCCUAUCCCUAUUCCACCCCACCCCUCUCUCACUCCCAUUCCUGUCCUCGUCCCCAUCCCACCCUGUCCCUGUCUCACACUCAUCCUCUCCCUGUCCCCACCUCACUUCCAUUCCUAUUCUUAUCCUGUACUAUCCCCAUCUCAUUCCCCUCCCAUCUCCAUUCCAUCCUGUCCCUCUCUCAUCCCCACUGCUGUCCCCAUCUCCCCCGUCCCUAUCCCAUCUCUAUCCUGCCCCUGUCUCUCCCUGUCCUCAUCUCACCCCCAUUCCCAUACCAUUCCCAUCCAUCUCCAUCCCAUCUCCAGCCCACCUUGUUUCCAUUUAGUCUCUAUCCCGUCCUUAUCCCAUUCUGCCUUCACAUCAGCCCCUUCUAUCCCCGUCCCUGUCCCCAUCUCACCCCUGCUCUGUCCCCAACCCCGUUUCCCCCUCCCGUCCCGGCCCCGCCCGCCCCCCGCCGUACGCACCUCCCUCCGGGCGCCGCCAUGACGCCGUACGGCCGAAGGGACCCGCGGGGGCCGCCAUGCUGCCGCGCGCAUGCGCCUUAGCCGCCGGAGCGUCUCCAUUGAGAAGAAUGAGGGGAAAGGGGCGGAGCCAAGGCGCGAGGAGCCACCGCGGGGGCGGGGCUACGCUCCGGGGCUCCGGCCAUGGCCACAGUGGAUGCCGAGGUGAGUGAGAGCGGCGGCGUCCAUCUACCCGGGCGGGGGGACGGAAGAUGGGGGAGCGCGCAGUGGUAUCGCCCAGGGCCAGGCGGCUUCUGUCGGGGGCCGGGAGGGGGCCGUGCCCCCGCCGCCCCAUGGUUCAGUCCAACUCCUCUGAGGGGAAGAAUGUGGGAGCUGCUGCCAUUGUGUGUAGGGGGGCCCGGGACUCUGUAUAAGUAACACCCCUCCGCGGCCAGUCGGUGGUAUGGGCCAUACAGGUUCCGGGGUUCCCCCCAAUGGGAGCGGGUGCGUGCGGCGGGGGCGGGGGGAGCGGCGCCGGCGCCAUCCACGUUCCGGGGCUCCUCGUGCGGC